GUUGUUUCAUUUGAUGGAUCUUUAUUAGACUGUUGAUGGACGGGUUGUAAAAGUUAAUGAAGUCCAGCCUAGAGGUGGUAGAACAAACUUUGGCCGUGACAAUUUCCGUCGCAAUAAUAACAUAGAUAUGGACUUUGACGGGUAGAGAUAGAGACUGGUCGUGAACGUGAUCGUUCUAGGGACCAAAAUAAGGAAUAGUCUCAAGAUCAUGAUUAAGGUAAAGACAGAGGAUAUGAUUGGGCAUGUGAUGUUAACCGGUCUCGGGACAUGGAUCAAGAAAAGGAGAUAAGAAGUGGGAAUAAGUAUAAAGAUCAAUUUGCGGACUUGACAAACUGUUUGAGAAGGCGAAAGAAGAACUUACUAAGAAGGUAA
rnacentral:lncRNA from 1 species